rnacentral:rRNA from 1 species
UACGUAGGGCGCGAGCGUUGUCCGGAUUGAUUGGGCGUAAAGAGCUCGUAGGCGGCUCGUUGCGUCGGCUGUGAAAACCCGCAGCUCAACUGUGGGCCUGCAGCUGAUACGGGCGGGCUGGAGUUCGGUAGGGGAGACUGGAAUUCCUGGUGUAGCGGUGAAAUGCGCAGAUAUCAGGAGGAACACCGGUGGCGAAGGCGGGUCUCUGGGCCGAUACUGACGCUGAGGAGCGAAAGCGUGGGGAGCGAACAGG